AUGUCGGCUCAUCACAUCCUGGGGCUGAAGUAGGUCCCAAGGGUAUGGCUGUUCGCCAUUUAAAGUGGUACGCGAGCUGGGUUUAGAACGUCGUGAGACAGUUCGGUCCCUAUCUGCCGUGGGCGCUGGAGAACUGAGGGGGGCUGCUCCUAGUACGAGAGGACCGGAGUGGACGCAUCACUGGUGUUCGGGUUGUCAUGCCAAUGGCACUGCCCGGUAGCUAAAUGCGGAAGAGAUAAGUGCUGAAAGCAUCUAAGCACGAAACUUGCCCCGAGAUGAGUUCUCCCUGACCCUUUAAGGGUCCUGAAGGAACGUUGAAGACGACGACGUUGAUAGGCCGGGUGUGUAAGCGCAGCGAUGCGUUGAGCUAACCGGUACUAAUGAACCGUGAGGCUUAACCUUACAACGCCGAAGGUGUUU
rnacentral:rRNA from 1 species